GCUUAAGUAGUUUAAUUAGAAUUUUAAUUUGUGGAAUUAAAGGUGUUGCUUUAACUUUGGGCU
rnacentral:tRNA from 1 species